CCUGCCACCCAGUUUCUAAGUCAGAUGUGGUCUGAGUGGGGCCGGUUUGCAGACCGUCUGGGAAAAAAAAACAACACAGCAACGACAACAACAAAACGCUCAAAGGACCUGAAAGCUCAUAACACAAAAGGCUCCAAGAAGGACAUGCCCCCCUGCCUCCUGGGGUAGCCGGAGCAGCGAGCGCAAGAGACCCAGCAGCCUGCACUUGAAGCAGAUCUCGGAAAUAACCUGCAUCGAUUUCACGGAAGCUCAUACUUUUGGAGAGAUUUGCAAUUCUGCAUUGUAAUCAGUCUCCAUUGAUUGUGUUUGCCUUAUACUGUUAGAAGAUCGCUACAGUUGCCUGUCAGCUCAGCCAAAAAGAACCGUGGCAGCAGACUCUGAACCAUGAAUGAAGCCGGUGCAAGAAGAGAAGCCGAUGCCCUGAAGGGAACAGCAGAAUGAAAAGAUAAGAGGAAUGUGGGUCCUUAAAUUACCAGCC